rnacentral:ncRNA from 1 species
CCGGUUCCGGUUCACGCCCGAGUCCGUGCCCCGCCGCGACCAUCUGCCGCCGGGUCGGACGCCGAGGGGCGACCCGGCGACC